UGUUCGAAAGCAGUCAAGAUGCCUUAUCAGAUCUGAUUUGAAUAUUCGAAUAUUGUGCAAGACAAAGCAAAUGCUUCUAGUAUAGUAGUGAUCGAUUGCAUCGUGAUUUGACAGGAGUCUUUGGUCUUCCUAGUCUUUUUGAUACCGCUAUUUCAUAAUUUUUUUAACACAAAUUCUCGCGUUUUAUUAUAGUUUUUGCGAAAGUAAUGGGCGUUCAACAUGAUAGCUCUUCCUCGCAAAGUGCAAUUUUCUUAUGAGUCCCACAACAUAUUAAUGGAGAGGCUUGGAGGACACGGCGCGUUAGUGCACUUAUUGCUAUUUUGAGAAAUAUGUGUUUAAAGUUUUGAAAUUACAUGGACCCUUUUGGCGAAAAGAAAGUUCAAGCUGGUUUUUUGAUGCUUGAAAAUUGGAAUUUGUAAGCGAAUUUUUCCCAGAAUAUGCAUUAAGACUAGUUUUACUGAAAUCAUUAAAAUCUCAUUUUUUUUUAAAAAAACGCGC
rnacentral:lncRNA from 1 species